rnacentral:rRNA from 1 species
CAGCACGAGUACUUGUACUUGGUGGCGAGUGGCGAACGGGUGAGUAAUAUAUUGGAACGUACCGAGUAAUGGGGGAUAACUAUCCGAAAGGAUAGCUAAUACCGCAUACGCUUUGAGAAGGAAAGCAGGGGAUCUUCGGACCUUGCGUUAUUCGAGCGGCCAAUAACUGAUUAGCUAGUUGGUGGGGUAAGGGCCCACCAAGGCGACGAUCAGUAGCGGGUCUGAGAGGAUGAUCCGCCACACUGGGACUGAGACACGGCCCAGACUCCUACGGGAGGCAGCAGUGGGGAAUUUUGGACAAUGGGCGAAAGCCUGAUCCAGCCAUGCCGCGUGUCUGAAGAAGGCCUUCGGGUUGUAAAGGACUUUUGUUAGGGAAGAAAAGGUUGAUGCUAAUAUCAUUAACUGAUGACGGUACCUAAAGAAUAAGCACCGGCUAACUACGUGCCAGCAGCCGCGGUAAUACGU